rnacentral:sRNA from 1 species
AGGUGUGAGGGAAAACUGGCUGUGACAAAUAUCACAGGGUUAAUUCAGUUGACCUGGGGGGCUAGGAGGGUGCCCCCUUCCUCCCUUACCAUUUCAUGUACAUCCCUCCCAAAGCUGUACCCACAAGAGAAGAUGACGACCAUCUCUACUAGAGGAGGACUGUUCUUUAGUCAAGGGUAUAUGAGUAGCUACGCUUCCCUGCUAGGCCUCCAAACAAGCUCUCAGUUAAAAUUCCCCAUAUGUUAACUUACUGUGUGUGUAUAUAUUCCUUU